rnacentral:snRNA from 1 species
GUGCUCACUUUAGCACAGAUACUAAAAUUGGAAUGAUAUAGAGAAGAUUAACAUGGCCUCUGCACAAGGAUGACACGCAAAUUCAUGAAGUGUUCCACAUGGAU